GGUUUGGUAGCUCAGUGGUAGAGCUUCUGUAUAUGGGGAGAGAAAGCGCCUAGGAAUAAAACUACUGAUAAUAAUAAAAUAACCUAACCACUGUCAGGACGUCGCAGGUUCGAAUCGUGUCCGAAGGC